CCUACGGGUGGCUGCAGUGGGGAAUAUUGCACAAUGGGCGCAAGCCUGAUGCAGCCAUGCCGCGUGUGUGAAGAAGGCCUUCGGGUUGUAAAGCACUUUCAGCGGGGAGGAAGGCGGUGAGGUUAAUAACCUCAUCGAUUGACGUUACCCGCAGAAGAAGCACCGGCUAACUCCGUGCCAGCAGCCGCGGUAAUACGGAGGGUGCAAGCGUUAAUCGGAAUUACUGGGCGUAAAGCGUACGCAGGCGGUCUGUCAAGUCGGAUGUGAAAUCCCCGGGCUCAACCUGGGAACUGCAUUCGAAACUGGCAGGCUAGAGUCUUGUAGAGGGGGGUAGAAUUCCAGGUGUAGCGGUGAAAUGCGUAGAGAUCUGGAGGAAUACCGGUGGCGAAGGCGGCCCCCUGGUCAAAGACUGACGCUCAGGUGCGAAAGCGUGGGGAGCAAACAGGAUUAGAUACCCCGGUAGUC
rnacentral:rRNA from 1 species